CGUAUACAAGUCUCCUGGGAUGGAGCAUCAUAGAGGGUGAGAAUCCCGUCUUUGAUACGGACUACCAGUGCAUUGUGGUAUGCUCUCAACGAGUCGAGUUGUUUGGGAAUGCAGCUCAAAAUGGGUGGUAAAUUCCAUCUAAAGCUAAAUAUUGGCGAGAGACCGAUAGCGAACAAGUACCGUGAGGGAAAGAUGAAAAGAACUUUGGAAAGAGAGUUAAACAGUACGUGAAAUUGCUGAAAGGGAAACGCUUGAAGUCAGUCACGUCUGCUGGGAAUCAGCCUCGCUCCUGCGUGGUGUACUUUCUGGUAGACGGGUCAGCAUCAGUUUUGACCAUUGGAAAAAGGUGUGGGGAAUGUGACAGCUCCGGCUGUGUUAUAGCCUCAUAUUGUAUACAGUGGUUGGGACUGAGGAACGCAGCACGCCGCAAGGCCGGGUCUUUGACCACGUUCGUGCUUAGGAUGCUGGCAUAAUGGCUUUAAGCGACCCGUCUUGAAACACGGACCAAGGAGUCUAACAUGCCUGCGAGUGUUUGGGUGGAAAACUCGAGCGCGCAAUGAAAGUGAAAGUUGAGAUCCCUGUCGUGGGGAGCAUCGACGCCCGGACCAGAACUUUUGGGACGGAUCCGCGGUAGAGCAUGUAUGUUGGGACCCGAAAGAUGGUGAACUAUGCCUGAAUAGGGUGAAGCCAGAGGAAACUCUGGUGGAGGCUCGUAGCGGUUCUGACGUGCAAAUCGAUCGU
rnacentral:rRNA from 1 species